GACGAACGCUGGCGGCGUGCUUAACACAUGCAAGUCGAACGGUAAGGCCCUUCGGGGUACACGAGUGGCGAACAGGUGAGUAACACGUGGGUGAUCUGCCCUGCACUUCGGGAUAAGCCUGGGAAACUGGGUCUAAUACCGGAUAGGACCACUGCCUGCAUGGGUGGUGGUGGAAAGCUUGUGCGGUGUGGGAUGGGCCCGCGGCCUAUCAGCUUGUUGGUGGGGUGAUGGCCUACCAAGGCGUCGACGGGUAGCCGGCCUGAGAGGGUGACCGGCCACACUGGGACUGGGAUACGGCCCAGACUCCUACGGGAGGCAGCAGUGGGGAAUAUUGCACAAUGGGCGCAAGCCUGAUGCAGCGACGCCGCGUGAGGGAUGACGGCCUUCGGGUUGUAAACCUCUUUCAGCACAGACGAAGCGCAAGUGACGGUAGGUGCAGAAGAAGGACCGGCCAACUACGUGCCAACAGCCGCGGUAA
rnacentral:rRNA from 1 species